rnacentral:lncRNA from 1 species
GGUGUUUGAAAUCUCUAGUUAUCCCGUUUAACACACCCAUCGAUGGCGCUUUUCUAGUUAAGCUACGGGGGAAACGUCUUUAUCCCGCAGUUAGGCUGCGAACUUGUGCAGAUGCUCAGGCUUUGUGGAGACGCUCCGGCAUCUGGCGCAGAGCUGCAGCGGAAAGGCAGGGGUCUGAGACUACUUUUGAGAAGAGAAACAACGCAAAACGAUCGCUGGAGGGCCAGAGCCCUGGUCGAAGAGAAGAAGCAGACACAGGUUCCCACGGCGUCUGACGCCUGCGGAGCAAGUCCAGAGCCAGCUGGACUCGCAGCCUCUGGCCCGGCGGCACCAACUCCUCACUGGGUCAUUUUGAGCGCGCUGUGCCCACCUUUUCUGUUGCGUGUGGACGUGGGGAGGAUCUUCUAAGUCCCUCCAACGAAGGCAAGUGUGAGACUCUGGCCCUUUAUUUGUAAGAAGCAAGCCUUCAGAUUGCAGAAGUGUCGCGCGGGUCGCCGUGCGUUGCGCGAGUGGGAAGAUGGAGGAGGCCGGCACGCUGCUUUCGUGGACGCAAGUGAACCGGGCGUGAAGGCAGGGUGCGAGCUCUGCCCUUGGCCCAGCCCUGCGUGGGCGCCGUCCCAGAUUCCGGGCGGUGCGGGGUGCAGAGAUCUGGAGAGACUUGCGGGCUCCCCAGCGCAGGCUGCUCUGGGAUUUCGUUGGAAGAUCCGGCAGAGCCUUGGAGGAGAGGGCCCGGGAGGCUGUGUGUGCAGCGGAAACUUGUACGAAUGCCCCCACAGCGGAAAUGGUGCGCACGAGUAAUUUCUGCGGUGCACCCUUUUAAAAAUUGACAAGUGAACAAGAUCAAUUUUUUAAGAAAGCAAAGGUAGAAAACAAAAGGCGUGCGACUUCUUGACUGGCUUGUUCCCGCCUUUCUUCCUUCUCUAUACUCAGAUCAGAAACUUUUCUUUAAUUGCUCUUAUUCAGUGCGAC